AACGAACGCUGGCGGCGCGCCUAACACAUGCAAGUCGAACGAGAAUCCGGGGCAACCCGGUAGUAAAGUGGCAAACGGGUGAGGAAUACAUGGGUAACCUACCCUUGAGAAGGGAAUAACCCGCCGAAAGGUGAGCUAAUACCCUAUACGCUAUCUUUUUUUCGAAAAGGAUAGGAAAGCCGGGUCGAAGACCUGGUACUCAAGGAGGGGCUCAUGUCCUAUCAGCUUGUUGGUGGGGUAACGGCCUACCAAGGCUACGACGGGGUAGCUGGUCUGAGAGGACUGAUCAGCCACACUGGCACUGAGAUACGGGGCCAGACUCCUACGGGAGGCAGCAGUGAGGAUAUUGCGCAAUGGGCGAAAGCCUGACGCAGCGACGCCGCGUGGGGGAUGAAGGUUUUCGGAUUGGUAAACCCCUUUCAUGAGGAAAGAUAAAGUGGGUAACCACUUACGACGGUACCUCAAGAAGAAGCCACGGCUAACUUCGUG
rnacentral:rRNA from 1 species